rnacentral:lncRNA from 1 species
ACAUCAAAGGAAAUUGAUGUCAGGUGUGAACAGAAGCUGUUGAAUAUAUCUGUUGAGGAAGCUGAGUGGUGUGUCUGGAUGGGAGAGAUGAAGGGCAGCUUAAAACAUUAACAAAACUACAGGGAGAACCUUGAUGUGUGCUCCAAAAUGGAACCCUUUAAGUUUUGACAAAUACAGCUUUCUAUUAAAUCCUUAAAAUCAAUGUUGAUACAUAUUUAAAUGGUCAGAAAUAUAAUUAGCAUUUCAAAGGAUGUGAAGAUGCACUACCUCGGGGACCACAAU